CAGAAAAUAUUUUAAUUUAAAAUAUUAAUUUUGGAAAUUAAUGAUAGAAAAAUUUUUCUUUUUCUGA
rnacentral:tRNA from 1 species